rnacentral:rRNA from 1 species
GACGAACGCUGGCGGCGUGCUUAACACAUGCAAGUCGAACGGACAGGCCCUGCUUUUGUGGGGUGCUCGAGUGGCGAACGGGUGAGUAACCCGUGAGUAACCUGCCCUUGACUUUGGGAUAACUUCAGGAAACUGGGGCUAAUACCGGAUAGGAGCUCCUGCUGCAUGGUGGGGGUUGGAGAGUUUCGGCGGUUGGGGAUGGACUCGCGGCUUAUCAGCUUGUUGGUGGGGUAGUGGCUUACCAAGGCUUUGACGGGUAGCCGGCCUGAGAGGGUGACCGGCCACAUUGGGACUGAGAUACGGCCGAGACUCCUGCGGGAGGCAGCAGUGGGGAAUAUUGCACAAUGGGCGGAAGCCUGAUGCAGCAACGCCGCGUGCGGGAGGACGGCCUUCGGGUUGUAAACCGCUUUCGCCUGUGACGAAGCGUGAGUGACGGUAAUGGGUAAAGAAGCACCGGCUAACUACGUG